rnacentral:rRNA from 1 species
AUUGAACGCUGGCGGCAGGCCUAACACAUGCAAGUCGAACGAGUGGCGGACGGGUGAGUAAUGUCUGGGAAACUGCCCGAUGGAGGGGGAUAACUACUGGAAACGGUAGCUAAUACCGCAUACCAUCGGAUGUGCCCAGAUGGGAUUAUCUAGUAGGUGGGGUAACGUCUCACCUAGGCGACGAUCCCUAGCUGGUCUGAGAGGAUGACCGGCCACACUGGAACUGAGACACGGUCCAGACUCCUACGGGAGGCAGCAGUGGGGAAUAUGGCACAAUGGACGCAAGCCUGAUGCAGCCAUGCCGCGUGUAUGAAGAAGGCCUUAGGGUUGUAAAGUACUUUCAGCGGGGAGGCGUUAACGGCAGAAGAAGCACCGGCUAACUCCGUGCCAGCAGCCGCGGUAAUAC